rnacentral:rRNA from 1 species
GACGUAGGGCGCGAGCGUUGUCCGGAUUUAUUGGGCGUAAAGAGCUCGUAGGCGGCUUGUCGCGUCGUCCGUGAAAACCCGCGGCUCAACUGCGGGCUUGCAGUCGAUACGGGCAGGCUAGAGUUCGGUAGGGGAGACUGGAAUUCCUGGUGUAGCGGUGAAAUGCGCAGAUAUCAGGAGGAACACCUAUUGCGAAGGCAGCUCGCUGGGACGUAACUGACGCUGAGACGCGAAAGCGUGGGGAGCAAACAGG